UACGUAGGGGGCAAGCGUUGUCCGGAAUCAUUGGGCGUAAAGCGCGUGUAGGCGGCUCGAUAAGUCUGCUGUGAAAGUUCAGGGCUCAACCCUGAAAUGCCGGUGGAAACUGUCGAGCUAGAGUACGGAAGAGGUGAGUGGAAUUCCUGGUGUAGCGGUGAAAUGCGCAGAUAUCAGGAGGAACACCAAUUGCGAAGGCAGCUCGCUGGAACGUAACUGACGCUGAGACGCGAAAGCGUGGGGAGCAAACAGG
rnacentral:rRNA from 1 species